rnacentral:lncRNA from 1 species
CUAAAGGCCCUAAAGAUUGAUGCUUUACAACGUUUGACAUGUUUGAACGAACGUAAAUAGAUUUUUUUUUUACUUUUCUUUUCGGCGCGCUUCCUACAUUUGGAGUAGCUGAACAGAACGCGCGAACAACAAGGAGCAAUUUGGACAUAAAUUAUGGAGUUUAUCGAACAAAACAACAUUUAUUGUGGACCUGGGAUUCCUGGAAGUGCCUUCUGAUGAAGAUUAUUAAAGAUCCACAGAUGAUGCAAUCUCUACUGCACUCCACACUUCCCUUUCACACCUGGACAAAAGGAACACCUAUGUGAGAAUGCUAUUCAUUGACUACAGCUCAGCGUUCAACACCAUAGUGGCCUCAAAGCUCAAACCUAAACACCUACCUCUGCAACUGGAUCCUGGACUUCCUGACGGGGCUGACCUUCAUGUGCAGAGGUUUGUCCGACAUAAGGAACUCACAGGUCGUCUCACUAUCCUCCGGAGUGUACUGGAUCUUACGGAUGGCAAGACGCACAGAGCUCCUGUGGGAUACCGAGAGCAACGAUCAGUAGCCUGGUGGCUUGGGGAAGAACUGUCAUGCAGUCCAACACUUGAUUCUGAAAUGAAAUGAAUUGGACCUGUAGUGCAGUAAACCAGAACAUACAAAUAUCCAGAGCAACAAAAG